GGUAACAGGAAGAAGCUUGCUUCUUUGCUGACGAGUGGCGGACGGGUGAGUAAUGUCUGGGAAACUGCCUGAUGGAGGGGGAUAACUACUGGAAACGGUAGCUAAUACCGCAUAACGUCGCAAGACCAAAGAGGGGGACCUUCGGGCCUCUUGCCAUCGGAUGUGCCCAGAUGGGAUUAGCUUGUUGGUGGGGUAACGGCUCACCUAGGCGACGAUCCCUAGCUGGUCUGAGAGGAUGACCAGCCACACUGGAACUGAGACACGGUCCAGACUCCUACGGGAGGCAGCAGUGGGGAAUAUUGCACAAUGGGCGCAAGCCUGAUGCAGCCAUGCCGCGUGUAUGAAGAAGGCCUUCGGGUUGUAAAGUACUUUCAGCGGGGAGGAAGGGAGUAAAGUUAAUACCUUUGCUCAUUGACGUUACCCGCAGAAGAAGCACCGGCUAACUCCGUGCCAGCAGCCGCGGUAAUACGGAGGGUGCAAGCGUUAAUCGGAAUUACUGGGCGUAAAGCGCACGCAGGCGGUUUGUUAAGUCAGAUGUGAAAUCCCCGGGCUCAACCUGGGAACUGCAUCUGAUACUGGCAAGCUUGAGUCUCGUAGAGGGGGGUAGAAUUCCAGGUGUAGCGGUGAAAUGCGUAGAGAUCUGGAGGAAUACCGGU
rnacentral:rRNA from 1 species